rnacentral:rRNA from 1 species
GACGAACGCUGGCGGCGUGCCUAACACAUGCAUGUCGAGCGGGGGGAGUACUUCGGUACAAACCUAGCGGCGGACGGGUGAGUAACACGUGGGUAACCUGCCUCAAAGUGGGGGAUAGCCUUCCGAAAGGAAGAUUAAUACCGCAUAACCCAUAGCUUCCGCAUGGAAGCAAUGGUAAAGAUUUAUCGCUUUGAGAUGGACCCGCGGCACAUUAGCUAGUUGGUGAGGUAACGGCUCACCAAGGCCACGAUGCGUAGCCGACCUGAGAGGGUGAUCGGCCACAUUGGAACUGAGACACGGUCCAGACUCCUACGGGAGGCAGCAGUGGGGAAUAUUGCACAAUGGGCGAAAGCCUGAUGCAGCAACGCCGCGUGAGUGAUGAAGGCCUUCGGGUUGUAAAGCUCUGUCUUUUGGGACGAUAAUGACGGUACCAAAGGAGGAAGCCACGGCUAACUACGUGCCAGCCGCCGCGGUAAGAC